GACGAACGCUGGCGGCGUGCUUAACACAUGCAAGUCGAGCGGUAAGGCCCUUUCGGGGGUACACGAGCGGCGAACGGGUGAGUAACACGUGGGUGACCUGCCCUCAGCUCUGGGAUAAGCCUGGGAAACCGGGUCUAAUACCGGAUAUGACUCCAUGACGCAUGUUGUGGGGUGGAAAGCCCUGUGCGGCUGAGGAUGGGCCCGCGGCCUAUCAGCUUGUUGGUGGGGUGANGGCCUACCAAGGCGACGACGGGUAGCCGGCCUGAGAGGGCGACCGGCCACACUGGGACUGAGACACGGCCCAGACUCCUACGGGAGGCAGCAGUGGGGAAUCUUGCGCAAUGGGCGAAAGCCUGACGCAGCGACGCCGCGUGAGGGAUGACGGCCU
rnacentral:rRNA from 1 species